rnacentral:tRNA from 1 species
AGAGGUACAGCUCAGUGGUACAGCACUUGCUUAGCAUGUAAAAAGCUCUGGGUUCAAUUCCCAGUGCUGUAA